GCGCACACUCACAUUCUGGCCAGUGACUCGCUCCACUUUGGCACGGUACCACUGACCAUCCACAAACUGGGCCGCACAGAGAUCACCUUGGGGCAAAAACCAGCAUGACAUGAGAGCAGAAAACAAGAAAAGAACAACAGCAGACUUGGACUGCAAGCUUAUCUAUAUGUACAAGUCACAAGACUCCUUAGGCUCACUCUGUAGGCAACCUACCGUCCUUGAGCAUUACAAGACAUGUAAAUAGCAAGAGCAGUGUACCAAAUGCUCACCUUGUGGACAAUGGAGCCAACAAAGUUGUUGUUGUUGAAGGUCUCCAGGAUAACCUGAACAUCGCGCUGCAGCAGACGUGACUCUGUGAAGAAGCGCGCCUCGUCCGCAAAUGGUUCACUGUUGCCCUUGUCCACCUUACCCUCAGAGUCCAGCUUGUUCAUCGGACACUGUUAAGGAUGCAGAGUGUGAGUUAUGGGUAGUUUGGGUUAUCAUCAUUACCAGUGUGGGAUUCAAACAAUACUAAUGGUUCAACUAGC